rnacentral:rRNA from 1 species
GAUGAACGCUAGCGACAGGCCUAACACAUGCAAGUCGAGGGGCAGCGGGGGAGUAGCAAUACUCCUGCCGGCGACCGGCGCACGGGUGAGUAACACGUAUGGAACCUGCCCGUCACAGGGGGAUAAGCGGAAGAAAUUCCGUCUAAUACCGCAUAACGUCUUUCCGGGGCAUCCCGGCGGGACCAAAGGGUAACACCGGUGGCGGAUGGCCAUGCGCCGCAUUAGCUGGUUGGCGGGGUAACGGCCCACCAAGGCGACGAUGCGUAGGGGUUCUGAGAGGAAGGCCCCCCACACUGGUACUGAGACACGGACCAG